CCACGGGGGAUGCCUCAGUACGGCGAGUGAGCGGCAAGAGCUCAAAUUUGAAAGCUGGCUCCUUCGGGGUCCGCAUUGUAAUUUGCAGAGGAUGCUUCGGGUGCGGCCCCUGUCUAAGUGCCCUGGAACGGGCCGUCAGAGAGGGUGAGAAUCCCGUCUGGGAUGGGGUGUCCGCGCCCGUGUGAAGCUCCUUCGACGAGUCGAGUUGUUUGGGAAUGCAGCUCUAAAUGGGUGGUAAAUUUCAUCUAAAGCUAAAUACUGGCCGGAGACCGAUAGCGCACAAGUAGAGUGAUCGAAAGAUGAAAAGCACUUUGAAAAGAGAGUUAAAAAGCACGUGAAAUUGUUGAAAGGGAAGCGCUUGCGACCAGACUCGCCUCCAGGGUUCAGCCGGCAUUCGUGCCGGUGUACUUCCCUGGGGGCGGGCCAGCGUCGGUUUGGGCGGCCGGUCAAAGGCUCCCGGAAUGUAGUGCCCUCCGGGGCACCUUAUAGCCGGGAGUGCAAUGCGGCCAGCCUGGACCGAGGAACGCGCUUCGGCACGGACGCUGGCAUAAUGGUCGUAAACGACCCGUCUUGAACCACGGACCAAAAAAGUAG
rnacentral:rRNA from 1 species